rnacentral:rRNA from 1 species
UACGUAGGGCGCAAGCGUUGUCCGGAAUUAUUGGGCGUAAAGAGCUCGUAGGUGGUGUGUCGCGUCUGCCGUGAAAGCCCGGGGCUUAACCCCGGGUCUGCAGUGGAUACGGGCAGGCUAGAGGUAGGUAGGGGAGAAUGGAAUUCCCGGUGUAGCGGUGAAAUGCGCAGAUAUCGGGAGGAACACCGGUGGCGAAGGCGGUUCUCUGGGCCUGUGCUGACGCUGAGGAGCGAAAGCGUGGGGAGCGAACAGG